rnacentral:rRNA from 1 species
UACGUAGGGUGCGAGCGUUAAUCGGAAUUACUGGGCGUAAAGCGUGCGCAGGCGGUUCGUCAAGUCUGAUGUGAAAGCCCCGGGCUCAACCUGGGAAUGGCAUUGGAAACUAGCGGGCUUGAGUGUGGCAGAGGGGGGUGGAAUUCCACGUGUAGCAGUGAAAUGCGUAGAGAUGUGGAGGAACACCGAUGGCGAAGGCAGCCCCCUGGGCCAAUACUGACGCUCAUGCACGAAAGCGUGGGGAGCAAACAGG